rnacentral:tRNA from 1 species
UGGUAAUUAGUUUAAUUAAAA